rnacentral:rRNA from 1 species
UACGAAGGUGGCAAGCGGUGUCCGGAUUUACUGGGCGUAAAGGAUGCGUAGGCGGCUUUGUAAGUUAGAGGUGAAAGCCCGGGGCUCAACUCCGGAAUUGCCUUUAAGACUGCAUCGCUAGAAUUGUGGAGAGGUAAGUGGAAUUCCGAGUGUAGAGGUGAAAUUCGUAGAUAUUCGGAAGAACACCGGUGGCGAAGGCGACUUACUGGACACAUAUUGACGCUGAGGUGCGAAAGCGUGGGGAGCAAACAGG